GGCUCUAUAGUGUAGUGGUUAUCACGGCGGAUUUUGAGAACAAAUUUCCGUAGACUCAGGUUCGAACCCUGAUUGAGCCU